AAGUCGUAACAAGGUAUCUGUAGGUGAACCUGCAGAUGGAUCAUCACUGAUUCUUUAACCUGGCAAAGUGGCGCAAGCUGCUUUGCCGCCAAGGUGUGGCUCCGCACCUUGUUCAACUAAACUGGGCUACCAUUUUAUACACGGUUGCAUCUGUCGGGGCUUCGGCGCCGACAAAUCUUUUACACACGCUGAUCUGUAGUAUUUGUAUGGAUAAUGACUGGUAAUGCGGUCGUAUAAUCAAAAAACAACUUUUGGCAACGGAUCUCUUGGUUCUCC
rnacentral:misc_RNA from 1 species